rfam:Camponotus floridanus CamFlo_1.0_3.contig3852, whole genome shotgun sequence.
AAGAUACUUUGUAGAAUCAUUCUGUGCAAUGUUCUGUUGAUCUUAUUCUCCUUUCUUAACGUAGGAGUUGAUGUAACUAAGAUGAGAAGCGAUAGCCUACUUACUUUAGCGUGAGAACGACACGAAUUCUUGACCUGUUCGAGAUCUUUGUCAUCGAUGAUCGUUUACCUUCUGCACUCAAUACAAGAGUAAUGGAACGAAGGGUUUCAGCGCGGU